rnacentral:rRNA from 1 species
CCCUAUGGGGUGCAGCAGGCCUUGGAUUCCUGUUGUUCUUCAUGCUACUUGCAUUGAGCCGCCUCUUCUCCAAAUCAUUAAAGGAUUCCAUUGAAUCACCUUCUUUCAAAGUCAUAUACCAGACUAUCGGUGAAGAUAUCCGCUACGAAAUCCAGUCCGGAAUGGACGGAACCAUCAAUGAAAUUGCAGCCCUCACAUCUGCACUGGUGCUUGCAGGCAUGUGAAUGCUGAGUUUUGUAAGCCUUAUUCAUUUUUCGAUCGUCCUCGUUGUUAUUGCUGCCCUGUGGAUAUACCUUGCAUUUAAGCUCGAUGCAGGAUACAGGAAUUCAAUAAGGAAAGCCCUUGAAGCCGGCGAGGAUGAAGAAAAGGACAUUGUGACUGAUAGUGCUGCUGAAGAACAUAAAAACCGGUUGUCAGUAUCACGCGAAAUAAAGAAUGAUGAUUACAACCUUGGCGCGGGGGGGC